GGGUCAAGUCCGAUAUCUUUAGGAGAAGUCUUAUUGUGAGGGCGAGUUAUAUAACACCAUAGGACUGGCCGUCCCAUAUGAAAAGAUUAUAUUAGAAUUGAAUGAAGCUUUGUUUAUAUAUUGAUAAUGACAGUAUAUAUAUCGUGUCUUGACUAAUUGCGUGCCAGCAGUCGCGGUAAUACGUAAGAGACUAGUGUUAUUCAUCUUAAUUAGGUUUAAAGGGUACCCAGACGGUCAAUAUAGCUUAUAAAAUGUUAGUACUUGACUAGAGUUUUAUGUAAGAGGGCAGUACUUGAGGAGGAGAGAUGAAAUUUCGUGAUACCAAAGGGACUCUGUAAAGGCGAAGGCAGCCCUCUAUGUAAAAACUGACGUUGAAGGACGAAGGCACAGAGAACAAACAGGAUUAGAUACCCAAGUAGUCUUUGCAGUAAAUGAUGAAUGCCAUAGGUUAGAUUGGUCAAUUAUAGUCUAGGGUUAGUCUAGCAAACUAAUGCCCUGUGCUAUAAUUCAAAAUAUCUGGUCUAUAAAUGAAAGUGUAAGCAUUUCACCUCAAGAGUA
rnacentral:rRNA from 1 species